AGAGUUUGAUCCUGGCUCAGGACGAACGCUGGCGGCGCGCCUAACACAUGCAAGUCGAACGAGCGAGAGAGAGCUUGCUUUCUCGAGCGAGUGGCGAACGGGUGAGUAACGCGUGAGGAACCUGCCUCAAAGAGGGGGACAACAGUUGGAAACGACUGCUAAUACCGCAUAAGCCCACGGGUCGGCAUCGACCAGAGGGAAAAGGAGCAAUCCGCUUUGAGAUGGCCUCGCGUCCGAUUAGCUAGUUGGUGAGGUAAUGGCCCACCAAGGCGACGAUCGGUAGCCGGACUGAGAGGUUGAACGGCCACAUUGGGACUGAGACACGGCCCAGACUCCUACGGGAGGCAGCAGUGGGGAAUAUUGCACAAUGGGGGAAACCCUGAUGCAGCGACGCCGCGUGGAGGAAGAAGGUCUUCGGAUUGUAAACUCCUGUUGUUGGGGAAGAUAAUGACGGUACCCAACAAGGAAGUGACGGCUAACUACGUGCCAGCAGCCGCGGUAAAACGUAGGUCACAAGCGUUGUCCGGAAUUACUGGGUGUAAAGGGAGCGCAGGCGGGAAGACAAGUUGGAAGUGAAAUCUAUGGGCUCAACCCAUAAACUGCUUUCAAAACUGUUUUUCUUGAGUAGUGCAGAGGUAGGCGGAAUUCCCGGUGUAGCGGUGGAAUGCGUAGAUAUCGGGAGGAACACCAGUGGCGAAGGCGGCCUACUGGGCACCAACUGACGCUGAGGCUCGAAAGUGUGGGUAGCAAACAGGAUUAGAUACCCUGGUAGUCCACACCGUAAACGAUGAUUACUAGGUGUUGGAGGAUUGACCCCUUCAGUGCCG
rnacentral:rRNA from 1 species